rnacentral:rRNA from 1 species
CUUGAUGUGUAGGAUAGGUGGGAGGCUUUGAAGUGUGGACGCCAGUCUGCAUGGAGCCGACCUUGAAAUACCACCCUUUAAUGUUUGAUGUUCUAACGUUGACCCGUAAUCCGGGUUGCGGACAGUGUCUGGUGGGUAGUUUGACUGGGGCGGUCUCCUCCUAAAGAGUAACGGAGGAGCACGAAGGUUGGCUAAUCCUGGUCGGACAUCAGGAGGUUAGUGCAAUGGCAUAAGCCAGCUUGACUGCGAGCGUGACGGCGCGAGCAGGUGCGAAAGCAGGUCAUAGUGAUCCGGUGGUUCUGAAUGGAAGGGCCAUCGCUCAACGGAUAAAAGGUACUCCGGGGAUAACAGGCUGAUACCGCCCAAGAGUUCAUAUCGACGGCGGUGUUUGGCACCUCGAUGUCGGCUCAUCACAUCCUGGGGCUGAAGUAGGUCCCAAGGGUAUGGCUGUUCGCCAUUUAAAGUGGUACGCGAGCUGGGUUUAGAACGUCGUGAGACAGUUCGGUCCCUAUCUGCCGUGGGCGCUGGAGAACUGAGGGGGGCUGCUCCUAGUACGAGAGGACCGGAGUGGACGCAUCACUGGUGUUCGGGUUGUCAUGCCAAUGGCACUGCCCGGUAGCUAAAUGCGGAAGAGAUAAGUGCUGAAAGCAUCUAAGCACGAAACUUGCCCCGAGAUGAGUUCUCCCUGACUCCUUGAGAGUCCUGAAGGAACGUUGAAGACGACGACGUUGAUAGGCCGGGUGUGUAAGCGCAGCGAUGCGUUGAGCUAACCGGUACUAAUGAACCGUGAGG